UACGAAGGGGGCUAGCGUUGCUCGGAAUUACUGGGCGUAAAGGGAGCGUAGGCGGAUAGUUUAGUCAGAGGUGAAAUCCCGGGGCUCAACCUCGGAACUGCCUUUGAUACUGGCUAUCUUGAGUAUGGGAGAGGUGUGUGGAACUCCGAGUGUAGAGGUGAAAUUCGUAGAUAUUCGGAAGAACACCAGUGGCGAAGGCGGCUCACUGGCCCGGUACUGACGCUGAGAUGCGAAAGCGUGGGGAGCAAACAGG
rnacentral:rRNA from 1 species